rnacentral:sRNA from 1 species
CCAGGAUGUGGCGUACAGCACGAAGACGCUGGCGGCGCGGGAGAUGGCGCUCCGGGCCUCCUUGGAGAUGUUGACACCGUCCGGGAGCUGCGAGGAGACCGGGGAGGACUAGAGUGCUGCAGGGUUGGCCUUUGGCCUAAACCAUUUUUAGCUAUGGACUUGCCAGAUGAGAGCCAGUGGGAUGAAACCACCUGUGGCUUGGCUGUUUGUCAGCACCCACAAUGCUGGGCAACUAUCCGCCGCAUUGAGAGGGGCCAUCCUCGAAUCCUUGGCUCAUCCUGCAAAACUCCCCUGGAUGCUGAAGAUAAACUCCCAGUGCUCACCGUGGUAGACAUCUCAGAUUCCUGCUUUGCACCUCGUCAUUUACCAGAAUGUACCUUUACUAAGGCCCAUUCUUUAUUGUCUCGGAGUUCAAAGUUUUACUCCAAAUUUCAUGGCAGGCCUCCGAAGGGUUUACCUGACAAAAGUUUGAUCCACUGUACUAAUAGACUUCCCAAACUUCCAGUGUUGAAUUUGAAUGAGACGCAACUUCCCUGCCCUGAAGAUG